rnacentral:rRNA from 1 species
GGUCAUGCAGUCGACGCUUUUUCUUUCACCGGAGCUUGCUCCACCGAAAGAAAAAGAGUGGCGAACGGGUGAGUAACACGUGGGUAACCUGCCCAUCAGAAGGGGAUAACACUUGGAAACAGGUGCUAAUACCGUAUAACACUAUUUUCCGCAUGGAAGAAAGUUGAAAGGCGCUUUUGCGUCACUGAUGGAUGGACCCGCGGUGCAUUAGCUAGUUGGUGAGGUAACGGCUCACCAAGGCAACGAUGCAUAGCCGACCUGAGAGGGUGAUCGGCCACACUGGGACUGAGACACGGCCCAGACUCCUACGGGAGGCAGCAGUAGGGAAUCUUCGGCAAUGGACGAAAGUCUGACCGAGCAACGCCGCGUGAGUGAAGAAGGUUUUCGGAUCGUAAAACUCUGUUGUUAGAGAAGAACAAGGAUGAGAGUAAAAUGUUCAUCCCUUGACGGUAUCUAACCAGAAAGCCACGGCUAACUACGUGCCAGCAGCCGCGGUAAUACGUAGGUGGCAAGCGUUGUCCGGAUUUAUUGGGCGUAAAGCGAGCGCAGGCGGUUUCUUAAGUCUGAUGUGAAAGCCCCCGGCUCAACCGGGGAGGGUCAUUGGAAACUGGGAGACUUGAGUGCAGAAGAGGAGAGUGGAAUUCCAUGUGUAGCGGUGAAAUGCGUAUAUAUAUGGAGGAACACCAGUGGCGAAGGCGGCUCUCUGGUCUGUAACUGACGCUGAGGCUCGAAAGCGUUGGGGAGCGAACAGGAUUAUAUACCCCUGGUAGUCCACUCCGUAAACGAUGAGUGCUAAGGUGUUGGAGGGGUUUCCGGCCCUUUCAGGGGUUGGG